rnacentral:rRNA from 1 species
AGAAUCAACGCUGGCGGCGUGCCUAACACAUGCAAGUCGCACGAGAAAGGGACUUCGGUCCUGAGUACAGUGGCGCACGGGUGAGUAACACGUGACUUAUCUACCUUUGAGUGGGGAAUAACCUGGGGAAACCCGGGCUAAUACCGCAUAAUACCUACGGGUCAAAGGAGCAAUUCGCUUAAGGAGGGGGUCGCGGCCGAUUAGUUAGUUGGCGGGGUAAUGGCCCACCAAGACUGUGAUCGGUAUCC